AAUUUGAGAUUCGCGUGGUUGCAU
rnacentral:miRNA from 1 species